GUCCACGCCCUAAACGAUGUCAACUAGGUGUUGGGGGAGCGAUUUCUCAGUACCGUAGCUAACGCGCGAAGUUGACCGCCUGGGGAGUACGGCCGCAAGGUUAAACUCAAAGGAAUUGACGGGGACCCGCACAAGCGGUGGAUGAUGUGGAUUAAUUCGAUGCAACGCGAACAACCUUACCUACCCUUGACAUGUCCGGAACCCUGCUGAGAGGUGUGGGUGCCCGAAAGGGAAUCGGAACACAGGUGCUGCAUGGCUGUCGU
rnacentral:rRNA from 1 species